GAAAUGCUGAUGUUCUAAUCUGCUACAGCAAAACUUCUCGUCCUUACCCUUCUGUUAAGACAUAACUGGGUACUCGACCAUGGCAAUGGGAUUCCAAAUGGCUUCCUGAAAAGCUACAGUGACAGGUCAGCCAAAGAUUUUGCUGAUACCUUCAGUGCCAUCAGGUUCUGCCUGCUCCUCACGCUGCUUCUGCUUGAACUUCAGGUUCCCAUAGUGCAUGACGGCCCCUGUCAGCUUGUAGAUGGCUGUUUUCUCAUCAGCACUGAAGCCCAGGAUGUCAAUGGCACUCUGCACCAGGAACAGUAAAAUAAAAGCUUUGUCUUGGAGAGAUGACAAUAGGUACAAUGUUCUUAAUUGGUACUCACAUCUGUGGCCAUGAGCUCCUCCUGGUCGUUAAUGCUGGGAACAGUGAUCUCACCUUGACUCACAAAUUGAUAGUCAUAUGGGUUGGUGGUGAUGAGGAGCAUGUCUGAAAGUAAGAGGGGAUAUACAGGCUUAUUUUAGUCAAGCAAGUAACGGUGUUCAGCAGUCUUCCUCCAGUUAUUAAUUCUUCCUACCAAUUAGCUCUGGCUUCUUGUUGGACAUGAUCUGAUAAAAGAUGUGGUAGCUUCUUUCUGCCUUGAGCUGGAAAGUGACUCUGGACUUCUCCAGCAGAUCUGGAGAAAAAAUUUUAGUUAGAAAAAAGAAGAAACAGGAAAAAAAAAGAAAGUAAAAAGAAGACGGGAAGAAAAACAGGGAAGGCAGGAUAGAUAUUUGGAUGAAAAGAUGUUUUAUGGAUAGACAGGUGAGUAGAUGGAUUGUUCAGGAAAGUGUCUUACAUGUUUCAAUAUCUGCAGAAGCCAGUUUUCCUGUGGCACCAAAAUGAAUUCUGAUGAAUUUGCCCUUUAAAGGAAUUAAAGUGUCUUAGGAUUUACAACAUAAAAAAUAUCACUGAAAUGAAGAGUUCUUCCAUUUAUUCCACGGGGCACAAGAUUUCUACUUAGAGACAUUCCACUAUUAACAUAAAGUUGUCUUUUUCAUUUUUGACCAAAAAAUAAUCAACAGUGGCAAAACUAUAUUUUGUGUAGGUUGAAUGUACAAAUGUGAAAGAAUGUGUGGGUUUCAU